CCUACGGGAGGCAGCAGUGGGGAAUAUUGCGCAAUGGGCGAAAGCCUGACGCAGCGACGCCGCGUGAGGGAUGAAGGUCUUCGGAGCGUAAACCUCUGUCAGCAGGGAAGAACGGUCACGGUGCUAAUCAGCAGUGAAUGGACGGUACCGGCAAAGGAAGCACCGGCUAACUCCGUGCCAGCAGCCGCGGUAAUCCGGAGGGUGCGAGCGUUAAUCGGAAUUACUGGGCGUAAAGCGCUCGUAGGCGGUAUGUCAAGUAAAGGGUGAAAUCCCCGCGCUCAACGUGGGAACUGCCUUUUAAACUUGCAAACUGGAGUGUGUGAGCGGAUAGUGGCAUUCCAGGUGU
rnacentral:rRNA from 1 species